GGCUGGGUAGCUCAGUGGAUUGAGAGCAAAGCCUAGAGGUGGGAGGUCCUAGGUUCGAAUCCAGCCUCAGCCA
rnacentral:tRNA from 1 species